rnacentral:lncRNA from 1 species
UAAUAUAAAUUCUUACCAAAAUUAGUUAUAUGGGUGGAUGCCCCAGAAUCGGGGUGCCACAUGAUAACCGGAUUAGUUGCAGCCAUAUUUGCAUAAGGAUUAGCACCGCUCAAAUCCAACCCUAUCGGGAUCAAAUUCCGGUUGUGAUUAGGAGGAAAUCUCUGAAAAUUUACUCUGCUAUAGCAAUUUAGAGCCCCAUACUCUUUCCGGUUGCAUAUUUGACACGGGUGAGCUUUUGCAUUCUCUGAUUUGGUGUGUUUAUAGAGACCACGUUGACUUUGACUAUGUUUGACGUUGAAAAUUGUUUAAAAUUACUAAAUGUCAUUUUGUAAUCGAAGUAGGUUGCAAUCGAGGUAGUAAAUUGUUUGUACUCGCUUCCUAAUCCACCCAAUGCUAUUAGGAUAAUUUGUGAUUCUUUCAUCUUUUCGCCUGCCGAUGCCAAUCUAUCUCUAAUGAUGCAUAUAUUCUUGAUAUAUUGAGCCAUCGUCUGUGUACCUUUAUGAAAGCUUUGUAGUUGCAUCCGAAGAUGAAGUAGACGUGUCUCCGAAUAAGAAGCAUGUAUUUGCCUUAGACAUUCCCAGACCUUAUGCGACGUGGUGAGAGCAGCGAACUGUGGAAAGAUCGUCAGAGAUAUCGACGUCAAGAUCCAACUAAGGAUAAUUUGGUCCUGCUGUUCAGCGGAAGAACCCUCAGGCAAAGUGAUUUUUUCUUCCACGUAUUCUAGAAGCUUGUAUCCUCGGAGAAGAGCUGAGAAUUGAGCUCGCCAACAGAAGUAGUUUUCUCCUUCUAACGUCACAUAUUUCAUUUGUUUUAUGACGAUCACCUUGCUUGAUGAUGUAUUUGAAUCUUUGUCUCCGGUCGUCAUUGCAGUGGAAUUGGGAUCGCUUGCAGACCCUGGCGAAGAUACCAUAUCAAUAUUGGAAGUUUAUCACUGGAAUACAAGAGUAUCACCAAGAAAACAUAUCCUUCAUCGAUUGAUUAAUAUCACUAUUUAUAAUACAAUGAUUUAUACUAACUACUACAAUUGUUUACCCUGACUAACAAAUUAAUUAUCAACUAAUUAACAUAGAGUUAGUUAAUGGUUAUACUCAAGAUAUUAUUCACAAACACAAUUACCAUUUUAACCAAAGUAAUUGUUCAUAUUACUAACUAACUCAAUCCUAAUUAGUAGGAUGAUAAAUUUCAUGGCAGUGAAUCCAUGUGUGGGGAUCCUUUUCGGCGAAUCUCGGAAAGCCAAAACGCAAGUGUGCCUUCAGUGGGUCAAUAUUAUGGUCAUGCUCUUCGUAAUCGUCAAGGUAAUUAUCAUCGAAAUCAUCCCGAUUGCGGAAGCAGCGACGGGUGAUCGAUGAAUACAUCGGACCUUGAUGGCGACCGUGAUGUCUGGUACGACCUCGUUGGAACUCGAUGUCACUAUCUGGUGGUUGGUGGUUGCUGUAUUCGGCCUCCUCGACUGGACUCUUCCCUUUGUCUUUAUUAAGGAGCUCUUGCAAGGCCGCUUGGAUCUUAGCCAUCUCUCCUCUAGAGACUGCAAUCUUCGCAGCUUGAAGUUGUAAGGACUCGUCCACACUUUUUCGAAGAUCCUUGAUCUUGUUUUGCGCAGAGCGAGUACCUCUUCCUACCAUUGUGGAAGGUGAGUUGGAUGAAUUGAAAACACCAGUUGGUACACUUAUACCCGGAGAAAAGAUGAUCGGAGCUUCUCCGAUCUUUCAAUGAUGAAAAUAAUGAUUCGAUGAUAUUUUUAUAUUCUCAAUCACACAAACGUGCAUGGCUUAUAUAGCCUUACAAAUCAAAUCAAUCAACUAGAAUCGAAAAGGAAAUUAUAAAUUAUAGCUACUUACCAAAUCAAUUUGCAUGGGGGUUAAUUGUGAAUAUCCCCUAAUCGAUCAUGAUAAAAUAAUAUUAAAAUAUUAAAUGCAAUAGAUGGGGUGGACGUGCAUGGUGUGCAUGGAGAG